AUGAACGCUGGCGGCGUGCCUAAUACAUGCCAGUCGAGCGAACGGACGAGAAGCUUGCUUCUCUGAUGUUAGCGGCGGACGGGUGAGUAACACGUGGAUAACCUACCUAUAAGACUGGGAUAACUUCGGGAAACCGUAGCUAAUACCGGAUAAUAUUUUGAACCGCAUGGUUCAAAAGUGAAAGACGGUCCUGCUGUCACUUAUAGAUGGAUCCGCGCUGCAUUAGCUAGUUGGUAAGGUAACGGCUUACCAAGGCAACGAUGCAUAGCCGACCUGAGAGGGUGAUCGGCCACACUGGAACUGAGACACGGUCCAGACUCCUACGGGAGGCAGCAGUAGGGAAUCUUCCGCAAUGGGCGAAAGCCUGACGGAGCAACGCCGCGUGAGUGAUGAAGGUCUUCGGAUCGUAAAACUCUGUUAUUAGGGAAGAACAUAUGUGUAAGUAACUGUGCACAUCUUGACGGUACCUAAUCAGAAAGCCACGGCUAACUACGUG
rnacentral:rRNA from 1 species